rnacentral:rRNA from 1 species
AUUGAACGCUGGCGGCAGGCCUAACACAUGCAAGUCGAACGAGUGGCGGACGGGCGAGUAAUGGCUGGGCAACUGCCUGAUGGAGGGGGAUAACUACUGGAAACGGUAGCUAAUACCGCAUACCAUCGGAUGUGCCCACAUGGGAUUAGCUAGUCGGUGGGGUAAAGGCUAACCUAGGCGACGAUCCCUAGCUGGUCUGAGAGGAUGACCGGCCACACUGGAACUGAGACACGGUCCAGACUCCUACGGGAGGCAGCAGUGGGGAAUAUUGCACAAUGGGCGCAAGCCUGAUGCAGCCAUGCCGCGUGUAUGAAGAAGGCCUUCGGGUUGUAAAGUACUUUCAGCGGGGAGGCGUUACCCGCAGAAGAAGCACCGGCUAACUCCGUGCCAGCCGCCGCGGUAAUUC